UACGGGGGGGGCAAGCGUUGUUCGGAAUUACUGGGCGUAAAGGGCUCGUAGGCGGCCAACUAAGUCAUACGUGAAAUCCCUCGGCUUAACCGGGGAACUGCGUCUGAUACUGGAUGGCUUGAGUUCGGGAGAGGGAUGCGGAAUUCCAGGUGUAGCGGUGAAAUGCGUAGAUAUCAGGAGGAACACCGGUGGCGAAGGCGGAUCUCUGGACCAGUUCUGACACUGAUGAGCGAAAGCCAGGGGAGCAAACAGG
rnacentral:rRNA from 1 species